UACGUAGGGUGCGAGCGUUAAUCGGAAUUACUGGGCGUAAAGCGUGCGCAGGCGGUUUUGUAAGCCAGAUGUGAAAUCCCCGGGCUUAACCUGGGAAUGGCAUUUGGGACUGCAAGGCUCGAGUGCGGCAGAGGAGACUGGAAUUCCUGGUGUAGCAGUGAAAUGCGUAGAUAUCAGGAGGAACACCGAUGGCGAAGGCAGGUCUCUGGGCUGACACUGACGCUCAUGCACGAAAGCGUGGGGAGCGAAAC
rnacentral:rRNA from 1 species